rnacentral:lncRNA from 1 species
GUUCAGCCAUCAUCGUUAUCGACGUCGCACCAUUAGCUGCGUCUUCUUGCAGUCGUCGACGUCGCUCCACCAUCGUCGCUUAUGCUCCAGACGCCGGUAGCCAUCAAGAUGCAGGAACAGUUGCAUCUUCUCUCCUCAAAGCGCGCCACCACUUGUCGCCCACCUCCACACCUUUCAAGCACUCCUAGCAGGCCAGUCACCACCCAUAGUAGCUCCUCCGACGGCCCUCCAUUAACUCCGGCAAUCUACCACCCAUCAAAAUUCUCAUACACCCAUUCUUUAAUUUCCAAAAAAUAUAAGGUAUUUUGUGUUCUUUUAAUUAUAUUUUUUAUUUAUUCUGAAUAUUUACUUGGAAAAAGAAAAAGAAAAAAAUAUAUGUGAUGGGUUUAUGAUUUUUUGAGGUAGAUUUUAGUAUUUGAUUAUUUAAUUUAUCCAAUUUCAAUUGAUAAUCUACUAACCAAGAUUUGAAUAUAUAUAUAUAUAUAUAUAUAUAUAUAUAUAUAUAUAUAUAUUGACUAAUAGUUGAAUUAAAGAAUAAUUAUUAGUAUAUUAACAAUCAAAAUUUAGGAUGAUAAUUGAAAAUGUUGGGUGAGAUCUAAUGGAUUUAAACCUAAAUUUUCAAAUAAAUUGUUAAUUAGUUAAAUAAAAAUCUUUAUUUCAUGGCUAAGAUAAUUCUAACUAUUAAAACAAAAAAUUUAUUUAAUUAAUUUUGAUGAUUGCACCAUAGAAAAUUCAGCACAUGUAAAUUUAGCCUCUUAUAGUUCAAAUGGACUUUUAGGGAUGGGUAGUAUAUCGACCAAGAACAAUAAUAGGUUAUUUGGCUUGUAAUUUUUAUUUUUAUUUAUAUAUAUAUAAAAUACUUUUUUGAAUGAGUUAAGGAAAUAACAUAUGCAAUAUUGUCUUUGUAGUCAUAGACAACAAAGUCAUCAACAUCUCCUUGACUGGUAUUGAUUCUACCAUGACUUUGUAAGUGCUUUUUCUUUUAAGUCCUUUCUAAUUCACUCGAGAUUCCUGAUGUUGAAUCUUUAUACUUCCAAUCUUUGCAGGAGAAUCUUGGUCUUAAUUCCUUCAAGCAUAGCCACUUUCUCAAACUUACCCACUGGUUCAGAUGUCUUCAAUGCUUCUCAAGUAAGAUGCCUCGUCCUGAUUAACUCAAGAUCUAUUGUCCUUUUUUAUAUAUGUUUUUGUGUAUUAAGAAAAUCAAAAGCUCUUCUUUUGGAUCUAGCUUGAAAAUGGCCAUUGGGUAUUAAACGGGUUGUCAAAGCUUUUCAAAAUAAAUUUCUAAUUUUCCUAAACUAACUUGUAGAAAUAGUGAAACCAGGUCGAAUCCCAAGGGAACCAAUGUGGAUAGCUUCUCAAAGUAAAAUAAAAAUGGGGGGAUUUUGAAUGUUUGAAUUAAAACUAUAAAUAAAUAGAAAAUAAUAAAGGCUGAAUAUUAAAGUAAAUAAAAAUCAAUCUUAACAAACUUCCAAUUCAAGAGUGCUAAUUCCAUCCAAUUAUAACCAUGAUCAUAGGCUUAAAUAUCAAUUUUUCUAUUCAAAUACAUAGUCUACUUAUUCGGAAAAGCCGCAACAAGUUAGAUUCUCCUAAUAUAAUUGACUUAAACCUAGCAUCCAAAUCAAAAUUUACCAUUAGUCAACUGGGCACGAUAGCGUUCCAUAUCAACUCAAUGAUAGCAUUAAGAAUAAUGAGAAUGACUAAACCAACAUUAAUUAAUUAAGAUAGCUGCAAUUGAAUUAACCUUGUUCCUUUAUUUCCCUAUAGCCUAUCACACAAGCUAUGUAAUUCGAAAAGGCCGCAAUCACACACAUAUGAGCCAGCUCCUUGCUACUUCUGUCAAUCGUUCAUGACAAUUACGGAUCACAAACUCAAAGUUUAGCAAUAGAAAAAUUAAUAUCAAAGUUGAGUCGUCAGUUUAAUCAAUAUCAAAAAUUCAUAAAUAAUAAAACAAGAAAUAAAGAAUACUUGAAUUAAAGAAGAAUUCUGUUAAGCACAAAGCCUCACAAAAUCACAAUUGGAAUUUAUUCACUCUUGAAUCAGAAACUAAAAACUUAGCCACACAUGGUGGAGUAAAAAUUCACAAGAAAAGAAUUGUAGGGAAUAGAAGAAGAAAAAUAAUAAAUAUAAAAGCACUCUCAGCCGUCCUCUACUUGGUAGAACUAGCCUCCUUAUAUAGGAAGUCAAACCUAAACCCUAAUAAGAUAAUCCUUAUGAAAAAAAAUAAACUUCCUAUAUGAUCUUAUCCCUAUAAAGAAGGAUAAGAUAAAGAGUAAUCUAAACAAAUUAAAACCCUAAAUAUAUGGGAGUAAGUUCUCUUUAUCCAACACUUCAAAAAUAAAGGAAAUUAUAUAAAAGUGGGUCCACCAUGAAUUUAUCUUGAAAAUUUGAAAUUCUCUUCUGCAGAUUUUAGCAGCUCACGGAUUGUAAGGCGUGGUCACGCCUUAUUGAACAUGAUCUUCUGCCCAAAUUUUUGCUCUUCCUCUAAAAGGCUUGGCUUCUAACAAGUGAUGCCUUAAAACAUGUCUUUAGGCUGCAUUCUACUCAAUCCUUGAUAUUUCACCACCUAGGUUAGAAUAAACACAAUUUCCACAAUUAAGUACAUUAUUCAAUCAAAAUGUAAGGGAAUUAAACACAAUAAGUAUAACUAUAUAUGAUCUAUCAGGUAUCCAACCACUGUUCUUUCGGAACUCCUUACUUCUAUAGAGCUAUUAUUGCGCAACCA